AGUACGAGAUUUAUUUUUCACACUUUUAAUUUUUAUUUUUUGAUUUAAAUUACUUUCAUCAAAAUUUUAUUUUAUUUUUAUAAAAUUAAAGAUUUUAAAUCAAAAUCUUAUCUUUUCUAUGGAUUUGACCUAACUCACUAUUUUUUUAUAUAUAUUUAAUUUUUAUUGAAGUCAGAAUUAAAUUUGAUAAGCAUGAUGUCCUAAUGACAACAUCGCGAGCCUAUCAAAUUUUUGGCACCAUUAUCGGAGAGGGC
rnacentral:lncRNA from 1 species